GAUGAACGCUGGCGGCGUGCCUAAUACAUGCAAGUCGAGCGAACAGACGAGGAGCUUGCUCCUCUGACGUUAGCGGCGGACGGGUGAGUAACACGUGGAUAACCUACCUAUAAGACUGGGAUAACGUCGGGAAACCGGAGCUAAUACCGGAUAAUAUAUUGAACCGCAUGGUUCAAUAGUGAAAGACGGUUUUGCUGUCACUUAUAGAUGGUUCCGCGCCGCAUUAGCUAGUUGGUAAGGUAACGGCUUACCAAGGCAACGAUGCGUAGCCGACCUGAGAGGGUGAUCGGCCACACUGGAACUGAGACACGGUCCAGACUCCUACGGGAGGCAGCAGUAGGGAAUCUUCCGCAAUGGGCGAAAGCCUGACGGAGCAACGCCGCGUGAGUGAUGAAGGUCUUCGGAUCGUAAAACUCUGUUAUUAGGGAAGAACAAAUGUGUAAGUAACUAUGCACGUCUUGACGGUACCUAAUCAGAAAGCCACGGCUAACUACGUG
rnacentral:rRNA from 1 species